rnacentral:rRNA from 1 species
GACGAACGCUGGCGGCGUGCCUAAUACAUGCAAGUAGGACGCAGUUGCGAACGGGUGAGCAACGAGUCGGUAACUACCUAUUAGAGGGGGAUAACUAUUGGAACCGAUAGCUAAUACCGCAUACUAGUAGAUGGACCUUGGUUGUAUUGGGUAGUAGGUAGGGGAAUGGCCUACCUAGGCAAAGUUACAUAGCCGACCUGGGAGGGUGCACCGGCAAACUGGGACUGAGGCAAGGCCCCGGCUCCUACGGGAGGCAGAAGUAGGGAAUCUUCGGAAAUGGGGGGAACCCUGACCGAGCAACGCCGCGGGAGUGAAGAAGGUUUUCGGAUCGUAAAGCUCUGUUGUUAAGGAAGCGGUACUUAACCAGAAAGGGACGGCUAACUACGUGCCAGCAGCCGCGGUAAUUC